CUAGCCACUACCAGAUAACUGUGUGCUGUACGUAGACCUUUGUUAGUGGCUGUGUGUGACACAGGAGGAAGCGGCGUCACAGGUGUCACAUUUAUAAAAUCUGACUCAGUCACUGAUGAUAAACAAGAUGAACAAAUACAGGAAGCAGAUAGCAGAGCAGUUCCUGAGUCAGGCCCUGAGCAUCAUUUGCCUGCUGACCGGAGAGGAAUAUGUUGUUGUGAAGAAGAGGCCCUCCCACAGCAGCAUUCACCGGCAGAGCAGAGAGGUGAGAACUGCUGGGGAAUGUAACAUUAUAUCAGAGUCAGGUGACAGUGUCUCCCUUCACUGAUG